GUGAAUCAUCAAAUUUUUGAACGCACAUUGCACUCUCUGGUAUUCCGCAGAGCAUGCCUGUUUGAGGGUCAGUUUAAACAACAAUCGGAGUGAUAGCUGCCUUCUGUGGUGACGCAUCGGCUUUGGGUCGUCUUGCCUUCGGUUAAGUGACCUACCAUAUUGCAUGCUUUUUUUCGCACGUAUUUACAUGACUUUACGUACGUUUGCGAUAUCGAAUACUAGGUGUGGUGAUCUUCAUGAUU
rnacentral:misc_RNA from 1 species